rnacentral:snoRNA from 1 species
UUCACAUAUUUACCAAACUUUCGGAUUACCAGCGACACUGACACAUUGCCUCUAUUCGGUUGAGCAAAAAUGGCCGGAAGGAGAACGAUCUGUCCAGCAUUAUAUAAUCUGGGAUGCCCGGUUUUUUUUUUUCGAAGACCCUUGGCCUCCUGGUUCGCGUGCUGGAAACAUGU